rnacentral:rRNA from 1 species
GUGUCAGCCGCCGCGGUAAUACGUAGGUGGCAAGCGUUGUCCGGAUUUACUGGGCGUAAAGAGCGCGCAGGCGGCCGAGUCAGUCGAAUGUGAAAGCCCCCGGCUCAACUGGGGAGGGUCAUUCGAUACUGCUCGGCUUGAAGAUGGGAGAGGGAAGCGGAAUUUCAGGUGUAGUGGUGAAAUGCGUAGAUAUCUGAAGGAACACCAGUGGCGAAGGCGGCUUUCUGGCCCAUUCUUGACGCUGAGGCGCGAAAGCUAGGGGAGCAAACGGGAUUAGAAACCCCUGUAGUCC